GCAAUUCAGCCCUAUCGUCCUCCCUCCCUCCCACCCUCCCUCCGCACCCCUUACACACAUGACUACGCCCUAGCGCCCACCCUCAUCUCCGCACGCGUCGUUUCGAUUUUUGUUCGUCUUCGCUCCCUUUCUGCUGCCCACGUAAAUCCGCGCUUGUUGUUGCUCGCUCGGCUGUCCUCGUGACUUUCCCUGGUGUGUGUGUGUGUGUGUGUGACGUGCGCGUGUGGGUAGCCGCACCUCCCUCCGUCGCUUAAUCGUGUCGUCUCUCGUCGAUUUUCGUGUCUUUGUGCUUGUUUCGGCUGUGGCUCGCUCGGUUUUCUGUCACGCCUGGACCGUCUGGGCGGCUCGCGCCUGCUCGACGAGGAAAAUGACCUUCUGCGGCUGUGGGUGCGUGUCGACGUCGGAGGUCGGCAUUAUCGAGAACUGCGGCAAGUUUGACCGCACUGCCGACCCGGGCUGCUUCUGCAUAGUUCCGUGUGUCGAGUCGGUGCGCGGUGUCGUCUCACUCAAGGUCGCCAUCUCCACCGUUCGGGUAGAAACCAAAACACGCGACAACGCCGUCGUCAACAUUGAGACCCGGUUGCACUACAAGGUCAUCGCCGAGUACGCCGAGGAUGCCUUCUACCGCUUCUCGAACCCCUCAGAGCAGAUCGCGAGCUUCGCUGCCAGCAUAGUGCGUGGCGAGGUGCCGAAGUACACGUUGGACGAGCUGUUCCUCAUGUCUGACGAAAUCAAGAAGGUGGUCAGUGCCGAGCUGACCGAGAAGCUGUGCGGCUUCGGCUUCUCGCUGGAGAGCACGCUGCUCACCCGCAUCGAGCCAAGCGCGAGUGUGAAGACGGCCAUUUCGCAGACGCAGAUCAACGCGUACCGCCGCACGGCAGCUGAGCACGAGUCGGAGCUGAAUAAGAUUUUGGCGGUGAAGGCGGCCGAGGCAGAUUACGAGGAGAAGAGACUCUCCGGUGUGGGCCUCGCCCAGGAGCGCCAGGCGAUUAUGAAGGGCCUGAAGAGCAGCAUCGAGUCUUUCGUGAACGCCGUGCCGAGUAUGCGCGCAAAGGAUGUUAUGAACCUGCUUCUGCUGAACCAGUACUUUGACGCCAUGAAGGAAGUGGGCUCGGGGAAGUCGAAUAAACUCAUCCUGAUGCCCAAUACGUGCGGUGCCGCCCCGAACUUCAUGGCUGAUCUCGUGGCAGCACAGGCCGGGGCGGCGAGGAUGAUGUGAUGGUGAACCGCUGGAAGCCAAAACGGCCGGGCUACAGAGGGAGAAGGAGCUGCGUGAAGUGGAGAAAAGGGAGCGAACGAAGCUGCAUCGUGUACUACGAGAGAGCGGUUAGGCGGAGGCGAGGGCGAGGGGGUCGGGGGUGUCGGGGGCUCAGGCAGAGCGGGAAGGGCAGGCCUCGUGCAAAUUCGCACAUAUAGAUAGGAAUAGACAAGCAGCGGUGCGCACGCGCACGCCUGGUGCCGCGUGGCACGCAGAGGGCUCACUGUGCAUUUUCCCUUUCUCUUCGAUUAUGAUUUGCCUUCUUUCUUUGUUUUACCUUCUCUCUCUUUCUGUGUGUGUGUAUGUGUGCAUGCCCUCGCUCUAG
rnacentral:misc_RNA from 1 species